AACGAACGCUGGCGGCAUGCCUAACACAUGCAAGUCGAACGAGACCUUCGGGUCUAGUGGCGCACGGGUGCGUAACGCGUGGGAACCUGCCCUUAGGUUCGGAAUAACGUCGGGAAACUGACGCUAAUACCGGAUAAUGUCUUCGGACCAAAGAUUUAUCGCCUUUGGAUGGGCCCGCGUAGGAUUAGCUAGUUGGUGAGGUAAUGGCUCACCAAGGCGACGAUCCUUAGCUGGUCUUAGAGGAUGAUCAGCCACACUGGGACUGAGACACGGCCCAGACUCCUACGGGAGGCAGCAGUGGGGAAUAUUGGACAAUGGGCGCAAGCCUGAUCCAGCAAUGCCGCGUGAGUGAUGAAGGCCUUAGGGUUGUAAAGCUCUUUUACCCGGGAUGAUAAUGACAGUACCGGGAGAAUAAGCCCCGGCUAACUCCGUGCCAGCCGCCGCCGUAACAC
rnacentral:rRNA from 1 species